GGUGAGGUGUCCGAGUGGCUGAAGGAGCACGCCUCGGAAAGUGUGUAUACGGCAACGUAUCGGGGUUCGAAUCCCCCUCACCGCCA
rnacentral:tRNA from 1 species